CUACAACAUGAAUGAAGCUUGAGGACAUUGUGUCAAGUGAGAUAAGCCAGUCACAAAAGGACAAAAACUUCUAUGAUUCCACUCAUACGAGGUAAUCAGAGUAGUCAGAUUCAUAGAGACAGAAAGUAGAAUGGUGUAUGCUGGGGGCUGAUGGAGGAGAG